rnacentral:rRNA from 1 species
UACGGAGGAUGCAAGCGUUAUCCGGAAUGAUUGGGCGUAAAGCGUCCGCAGGUGGCUGUGUAAGUCUGCUGUUAAAGAGUGAGGCUCAACCUCAUAAAGGCAGUGGAAACUACAUGGCUAGAGUGCGUUCGGGGCAGAGGGAAUUCCUGGUGUAGCGGUGAAAUGCGUAGAGAUCAGGAAGAACACCGGUGGCGAAAGCGCUCUACUGGACCGCAACUGACACUCAGGGACGAAAGCUAGGGGAGCGAAUGGG